rnacentral:rRNA from 1 species
UACGUAGGGGGCAAGCGUUGUCCGGAAUCAUUGGGCGUAAAGAGCGUGUAGGCGGUCCGGUAAGUCGGCUGUGAAAGUCCAGGGCUCAACCCUGGGAUGCCGGUCGAUACUGCCGGACUAGAGUUCGGAAGAGGCGAGUGGAAUUCCCGGUGUAGCGGUGAAAUGCGCAGAUAUCGGGAAGAACACCCGUGGCGAAGGCGGUUCUCUGGGACGGUACUGACGCUGAGACGCGAAAGCGUGGGGAGCGAACAGG